CUCCUGCCAGCCUGUGCCCUGCUUUGGGCCCCACAGGUGCUGGCCCUGGGACAUGAGACAAAUGUCCCAAUGUCUCGGGACCAAAGACAUUGGGAAAUUGGUCCCAAGAUGGCCCUCAGAGGGGAGGGGCC